AUUAAUUUGAGAGUUUGAUCCUGGCUCAGGACGAACGCUGGCGGCGUGCCUAAUACAUGCAAGUCGAACGAACUCUGGUAUUGAUUGGUGCUUGCAUCAUGAUUUACAUUUGAGUGAGUGGCGAACUGGUGAGUAACACGUGGGAAACCUGCCCAGAAGCGGGGGAUAACACCUGGAAACAGAUGCUAAUACCGCAUAACAACUUGGACCGCAUGGUCCGAGCUUGAAAGAUGGCUUCGGCUAUCACUUUUGGAUGGUCCCGCGGCGUAUUAGCUAGAUGGUGGGGUAACGGCUCACCAUGGCAAUGAUACGUAGCCGACCUGAGAGGGUAAUCGGCCACAUUGGGACUGAGACACGGCCCAAACUCCUACGGGAGGCAGCAGUAGGGAAUCUUCCACAAUGGACGAAAGUCUGAUGGAGCAACGCCGCGUGAGUGAAGAAGGGUUUCGGCUCGUAAAACUCUGUUGUUAAAGAAGAACAUAUCUGAGAGUAACUGUUCAGGUAUUGACGGUAUUUAACCAGAAAGCCACGGCUAACUACGUGCCAGCAGCCGCGGUAAUACGUAGGUGGCAAGCGUUGUCCGGAUUUAUUGGGCGUAAAGCGAGCGCAGGCGGUUUUUUAAGUCUGAUGUGAAAGCCUUCGGCUCAACCGAAGAAGUGCAUCGGAAACUGGGAAACUUGAGUGCAGAAGAGGACAGUGGAACUCCAUGUGUAGCGGUGAAAUGCGUAGAUAUAUGGAAGAACACCAGUGGCGAAGGCGGCUGUCUGGUCUGUAACUGACGCUGAGGCUCGAAAGUAUGGGUAGCAAACAGGAUUAGAUACCCUGGUAGUCCAUACCGUAAACGAUGAAUGCUAAGUGUUGGAGGGUUUCCGCCCUUCAGUGCUGCAGCUAACGCAUUAAGCAUUCCGCCUGGGGAGUACGGCCGCAAGGCUGAAACUCAAAGGAAUUGACGGGGGCCCGCACAAGCGGUGGAGCAUGUGGUUUAAUUCGAAGCUACGCGAAGAACCUUACCAGGUCUUGACAUACUAUGCAAAUCUAAGAGAUUAGACGUUCCCUUCGGGGACAUGGAUACAGGUGGUGCAUGGUUGUCGUCAGCUCGUGUCGUGAGAUGUUGGGUUAAGUCCCGCAACGAGCGCAACCCUUAUUAUCAGUUGCCAGCAUUAAGUUGGGCACUCUGGUGAGACUGCCGGUGACAAACCGGAGGAAGGUGGGGAUGACGUCAAAUCAUCAUGCCCCUUAUGACCUGGGCUACACACGUGCUACAAUGGAUGGUACAACGAGUUGCGAACUCGCGAGAGUAAGCUAAUCUCUUAAAGCCAUUCUCAGUUCGGAUUGUAGGCUGCAACUCGCCUACAUGAAGUCGGAAUCGCUAGUAAUCGCGGAUCAGCAUGCCGCGGUGAAUACGUUCCCGGGCCUUGUACACACCGCCCGUCACACCAUGAGAGUUUGUAACACCCAAAGUCGGUGGGGUAACCUUUUAGGAACCAGCCGCCUAAGGUGGGACAGAUGAUUAGGGUGAAGUCGUAACAAGGUAGCCGUAGGAGAA
rnacentral:rRNA from 2 species